CCUACGGGGGGCAGCAGUGGGGAAUAUUGCGCAAUGGGCGAAAGCCUGACGCAGCGAUGCCGCGUGAGGGAUGAAGGUCUUCGGAUCGUACACCUCUGUCAGCAGGGAAGAACGGUCACUGUGCUAAUCAGCAGUGAAUUGACGGUACCUGCAAAGGCAGCACCGGCUAACUCCGUGCCAGCAGCCGCGGUAAUACGGAGGGUGCGAGCGUUAAUCGGAAUUACUGGGCGUAAAGCGCUCGUAGGCGGUAUGUCAAGUCAAGGGUGAAAUCCCCGCGCUCAACGUGGGAACUGCCUUUGAAACUGGCAAACUGGAGUGUGUGAGGGGAGAGUGGAAUUCCAGGUGUAGGAGUGAAAUCCGUAGAUAUCUGGAGGAACAUCAGUGGCGAAGGCGACUAUCUGGCACAUAACUGACGCUGAGGAGCGAAAGCGUGGGUAGCAAACAGGAUUAGAUACCCCAGUAGUC
rnacentral:rRNA from 1 species